GAUGAACGCUGGCGGCGUGCCUAAUACAUGCAAGUCGAGCGAACAGACGAGGAGCUUGCUCCUCUGACGUUAGCGGCGGACGGGUGAGUAACACGUGGAUAACCUACCUAUAAGACUGGGAUAACUUCGGGAAACCGGAGCUAAUACCGGAUAAUAUAUUGAACCGCAUGGUUCAAUAGUGAAAGACGGUUUUGCUGUCACUUAUAGAUGGAUCCGCGCCGCAUUAGCUAGUUGGUAAGGUAACGGCUUACCAAGGCAACGAUGCGUAGCCGACCUGAGAGGGUGAGCGGCCACACUGGAACUGAGAAACGGUCCAGACUCCUACGGGAGGCAGCAGUAGGGAAUCUUCCGCAAUGGGCGAAAGCCUGACGGAGCAACGCCGCGUGAGUGAUGAAGGUCUUCGGAUCGUAAAACUCUGUUAUUAGGGAAGAACAAAUGUGUAAGUAACUAUGCACGUCUUGACGGUACCUAAUCAGAAAGCCACGGCUAACUACGUG
rnacentral:rRNA from 1 species